rnacentral:lncRNA from 10 species
UUGGGGAUCAGAGGCGACACUCAUUGUAGCAGAGAGGCAGGACCAACUGGGAGAGGGUCCUUCUGUGACAACUAUUGCAUCACCGGGCUGUGUGAAGUGACUCAGCUGCCAGAACUCACACAAUAUCAUUCUACACCAAACCUCACGGGAAAAAUGACAGCACCUUGUCUCAUUUGAACAAGACAUCUGGAGCCUGGAGAUCCCAGGGCUGAUAUGGCAACAGUGCGAUGCCCCCCAUGGAUAUGGGGUCGUUCCAUGUUUCUUCCCUGCCUUCCUCAGCAUGUUAACCUUUCAGCUUCACAUCCGCAUCCUCAUGGUCACAAGAUGGCUGACAAGCUCCAGCUCUCCCAUCCCUAGAAAGACUUCAGCUGGCAAAGCAACGCAAAUGGCUGAGCGUCGAGGAUAGAAGUGGCUGAACAGCGAGCAGAGAAGCAACUGAGCAUCGGAGGUUGGAGAUAGAUGCAGCUAACUUCAGAUACUGUGGUUUUAGAGAGGGGCCUGGCCAGAGACGGCUGGGUUCCAGGGACAGACCACCUUCCCAUCCCCUUUCCAGCCUCCCUUUCCACUGAGAGCUGCUCGCUGCUCA